rnacentral:tRNA from 1 species
GAUUUUGUAGCUCAAUUGGCAGAGCAAUUGGAUACUACCCAGGAGGCUGAAGGUUCGAACCCUUCCAAAAUCA